rnacentral:rRNA from 1 species
CUACGGGCCGCUGCAGUGAGGAAUAUUGCACAAUGGGGGGAACCCUGAUGCAGCAACGCCGCGUGGAGGAUGACGCAUUUCGGUGUGUAAACUCCUUUUAUAUGUCAAGAAAAUGACGGUAGCAUAUGAAUAAGCACCGGCUAACUCCGUGCCAGCAGCCGCGGUAAUACGGAGGGUGCAAGCGUUACUCGGAAUCACUGGGCGUAAAGGACGCGUAGGCGGGUUGGAAAGUCAGGUGUGAAAUCCUACAGCUUAACUGUAGAACUGCACUUGAAACUUCUAAUCUAGGGUAUGGGAGGGGGCGAUGGAAUUAGUGGUGUAGGGGUAAAAUCCGUAGAUAUCACUAGGAAUACCUAAAGCGAAGGCGAUCUCCUGGAACAUUACUGACGCUAAGGCGUGAAAGCGUGGGGAGCAAACAGGAUUAGAUACCCUGUAGUC